UACAGAGGGUGCAAGCGUUGUUCGGAAUUAUUGGGCGUAAAGCGCGUGUAGGCGGCUUUGCAAGUCGGGUGUGAAAGCCCUCGGCUCAACCGAGGAAUUGCGCUCAAUACUGCCGAGCUCGAGAGAGACAGAGGUAAGCGGAACUAAUGGUGGAGCGGUGAAAUGCGUUGAUAUCAUUAGGAACACCGGUGGCGAAGGCGGCUUACUGGGUCUUUUCUGACGCUGAGGCACGAAAGCGUGGGGAGCGAACAGG
rnacentral:rRNA from 1 species